rnacentral:rRNA from 1 species
AAUCAAGCGCGAAAAGGGCGUUUGGUGGAUGCCUAGGCAGCAAGAGGCGAUGAAGGACGUGGUACUCUGCGAAAAGCCAUGGGGAGCCGAGAACAGGCUUUGAUCCAUGGAUGUCCGAAUGGGGAAACCCACCUGAUAUUCUAUUGUUGUCGCUUCGCGACGUUACGCUCCGCGCCGGCUCAAUGCCGGAGGCGGCUGCGCCGCGCCCGCGAAGAGAUCAUCAGUAGGGUAAGACAGGUACUUUUACCCUGAAUACAUAGGGGUUUAAGAGCGAACCCGGGGAACUGAAACAUCUAAGUACCCGGAGGAAAGGAAAUCAAUAGAGACUCCGCUAGUAGUGGCGAGCGAACGCGGACCAGCCGAGCCUUGAGCGUGACUGGAAUGGCCUGGAAAGGCCAGCCAUAGCGGGUGACAGCCCCGUACAGGAAGCGUGAUGGGACGUAUCAAGUAGGGCGGGACACGUGAAAUCCUGUCUGAAGAUCGGGGGACCACCCCCGAAGGCUAAGUACUCCUUGCUGACCGAUAGCGAACAAGUACCGUGAGGGAAAGGUGAAAAGCACCCCGACGAGGGGAGUGAAACAGUUCCUGAAACCGGACGCCUACAAUCAGUCGGAGGGGCAUCAGCCCUGACGGCGUACCUUUUGUAUAAUGGGUCAACGACUUGGUCUCACGAGCAAGCUUAAGCCGAUAGGUGUAGGCGCAGCGAAAGCGAGUCUUAAAAGGGCGUCGAGUUCGUGGGAUCAGACCCGAAACCGGGUGAUCUAGGCAUGAGCAGGAUGAAGGUUGGGUAACACCAACUGGAGGUCCGAACCCACACCUGUUGAAAAAGGUCGGGAUGACUUGUGCCUAGGGGUGAAAGGCCAAUCAAACUCGGAGAUAGCUGGUUCUCCGCGAAAGCUAUUUAGGUAGCGCCUCGGACGAAUACCUGCGGGGGUAGAGCACUGCAUGGGUGAUGGGGUCCCACAGACUUACUGAGCCUAAGCAAACUCCGAAUACCGUAGAGUACUAUCCGGGAGACACACGGCGGGUGCUAACGUCCGUCGUGAAGAGGGAAACAACCCUGACCUGCAGCUAAGGCCCCCAAUUCGUGGCUAAGUGGGAAAGCAUGUGGGACUUCCAAAACAACCAGGAGGUUGGCUUAGAAGCAGCCAUCCUUUAAAGAUAGCGUAACAGCUCACUGGUCUAAUCAAGAGGUCCUGCGGCGAAGAUGUAACGGGGCUCAAGCCACGAGCCGAAGCUUGGGAUGCGCAGCAAUGCGCGUGGUAGCGGAGCGUUCCGUGAUAUAACACCAUCCGACCUUAGCCCUCCUCGGAAGGCAUUGGUCGGAACGGUGUUUACUGUGAAGCCGGGCCGUGAGGCAUCCGGUGGAGUGAUCGGAAGUGAGAAUGUUGACAUGAGUAGCGACAAAGAGGGUGAGAGACCCUCUCGCCGAAAGUCCAAGGGUUCCUGCUUAAAGUUAAUCUGAGCAGGGUAAGCCGGCCCCUAAGGCGAGGCCGAAAGGCGUAGUCGAUGGGAACCAGGUUAAUAUUCCUGGGCCAGGAGAUGGUGACGGAUUGCAGAGGUAGUUCGACCUUAUCGGAUUGGUCGGGCUGCUGAGUGGUCCCUGGAAAUAGCCCUCCAUCAGACCGUACCCUAAACCGACACAGGUGGACUGGUAGAGCAUACCAAGGCGCUUGAGAGAACCACAUCAAAGGAACUCGGCAAAAUACCUCCGUAAGUUCGCGAGAAGGAGGCCCCGUUUCUGGGCAACCAGAGGCGGGGGGCACAAACCAGGGGGUGGCGACUGUUUACUAAAAACACAGGGCUGUGCGAAGCCGUAAGGCGACGUAUACAGUCUGACGCCUGCCCGGUGCUGGAAGGUUAAAAGGAGGGGUGCAAGCUCCGAAUUGAAGCCCCAGUAAACGGCGGCCGUAACUAUAACGGUCCUAAGGUAGCGAAAUUCCUUGUCGGGUAAGUUCCGACCUGCACGAAUGGCGUAACGACUUCCCCGCUGUCUCUGAUGUGGACUCAGCGAAAUUGAACUGUCUGUCAAGAUGCAGACUUCCCGCGGUUAGACGGAAAGACCCCAUGAACCUUUACUCCAGCUUCGCACUGGCAUCAGGAAUGUGAUGUGCAGGAUAGGUGGUAGGCAUCGAUACCAGGACGCCAGUCCCGGUGGAGCCACCCUUGAGAUACCACCCUUCGCCUUCUUGAUGUCUAACCGCGGUCCGUCAUCCGGAUCCGGGACCUUGCGUGGCGGGGAGUUUGACUGGGGCGGUCGCCUCCCAAAGUGUAACGGAGGCGCGCGAAGGUUGGCUCAGAGCGGUCGGAAAUCGCUCGUUGAGUGCAAUGGCAGAAGCCAGCCUGACUGCAAGACUGACAAGUCGAGCAGAGACGAAAGUCGGCCAUAGUGAUCCGGUGGUCCCAAGUGGGAGGGCCAUCGCUCAACGGAUAAAAGGUACUCUGGGGAUAACAGGCUGAUGAUGCCCAAGAGUCCAUAUCGACGGCAUCGUUUGGCACCUCGAUGUCGGCUCAUCUCAUCCUGGGGCUGGAGCAGGUCCCAAGGGUAUGGCUGUUCGCCAUUUAAAGAGGUACGUGAGCUGGGUUUAGAACGUCGUGAGACAGUUCGGUCCCUAUCUGCCGUGGGUGUAGGAGACUUGAGAAGAGUUGCCCCUAGUACGAGAGGACCGGGGUGAACGAUCCACUGGUGGACCUGUUGUCGUGCCAACGGCAGUGCAGGGUAGCUAUGAUCGGACAGGAUAACCGCUGAAGGCAUCUAAGCGGGAAGCCCCCUUCAAAACAAGGUCUCCCUUGAGGGCCGUGGAAGACCACCACGUCGAUAGGCCGGAGGUGUACGCGCAGCAAUGCGUUCAGCUGACCGGUACUAAUUGCCCGAUAGGCUUGAUUUG